rnacentral:lncRNA from 1 species
AUAUAUUCAUUGUGGGCCGCGAGUUUGACACCCUUGGUAUAGACUAUUAUGAACCAUAAACGAAACCUAAAAGUAUAGUUCAUUUUAAUUUUUCUUAAUAUUUUUCCAAAUAAAAGAUUUAUUUUUAUAUUUUAGGAGUCGGAACGAGAGUAAAAACAAUGCCUUAAACAACAAUACAGCUGACGCUAUAAUAGAAUCGCAUUAACAAUAUGGCAAGCAACAGGAUUCGACUGUGAUGGUUCCGGCUGAAAAUCGGUUAGAUAUGGUAUGGAUUCUUAUUUAUAAGAAACAAAUCCUCUCACUUGUGAGACCGAUUUCGGUCUACCUGUAAUUCGCUGUCGUAAUUCCAAAGGUUUAUGAUGGAAGUGUUGGGUAGAUCUGCAAUAUUUCCCAGCCACGUCGAUACUUGGUUUGAAGUCUGUGGCCAUCGUAUGGAAGUGGAGAGAAAUUAUUUCCUCCGGGGGAAUCCGGGCUCUUACAUUAGAGAUCCCCAUUCCUCAACUUUCAAAACGUCGAAUGUGUUGCUUGUAUGGGAGGCAGCGGGAUUAAUAAGCCGGUUUUGAUCCGGUCGCGAAAGGGUCCAGUUUUUUCCAUAAUAGUGAUUACUGCCUAGCU